CUUUUUUUUUUUUCCUGUUUCUGGUAGGUCCUUGUCUGUUCUGCUUGGAAAUAUUCCAUGUCUUAUGCUUAACCUGGGGUGACUACUGCUUUGUGCCAGUCCCGCUGUAGCCUUCCCACUUUUUCUUCUGGAUCACCUCCUUCUUUCUUUUCUAGCUUAGCAUUUUUCAGAAAGGGAGGCUAUUACAGGGCUAUUUAAGAAGGACUCUAUCCGUGUUGUCCCUUCUUCAACAGUAUUUGAGCCUGAUGUCUACCUUUUAACAUGUAACUGAAGGUUAGACAUCCCGAAGGUAUUAUUUUUUUAGUAUCUUUCAUGAAUAUAGGCAGCUGAGUAGAGGAAGAUCUCUCCUGUGUCUUCCCCAAGGGAAAGGAUGCAGUGUAGACUCUUUCUUAUUAAUUAGAGAAUCUAUAAAAAAAAAUAUAUUCCUACAAAACCAGAUCUUGAUAGUGCUGCUGCUCAGGAGACCACUUUUUGCAAGGAAGCAACCAAGGCUGAAUGUCACUCCACAUGCUGGUACUGUUUACCAAAUAGUGUUAACUAGGAGGAAUUUUUUCAGCAUUACUGUUUUAUAGCUCUGUCCUUUUACCUGCUGCUCUACAUCAGAUAAGCCUUUUUACUGAGCAGUUUGUGAUGGUAUCUUCCAAGUCACUAGCCUCAGAUGAUCCCAUGGGUCUGGCUCUUCAGUGUGGAUAAUAAGUGUACCUUACCUAGAUCUGAGUGAAAUUUAAUCUGCCACAGCAUCACUUAAUUUCCCAAUUGGUUUCUGUCUCUCAGCAGCUACUUACAGGAUAAUAUUUUUUUUAGUUGAAUGUAAUUUGCAAAAAUUUACCAGCCUGCUGUGAGUUUUCUCCAUUAUUUUUCCUUCUCUCUUCACACAAUAUAUGAAACUGUUGGUCCUUCUACAUGUCCCUGGGAGUAUCUUAUCUCACUGACAACAGGGGCAGAUACUGAAUGAACAUUAAGAUGCUCCCUGUUGGGACAUAUAUGCAUUGCAGGUCUCAUUGGAUCUGAUACCACUGACUCAGAAA
rnacentral:lncRNA from 1 species